CAUGGCUCAGAUUGAACGCUGGCGGCAUGCUUUACACAUGCAAGUCGAACGGCAGCGCGGGACAACCUGGCGGCGAGUGGCGAACGGGUGAGUAAUAUAUCGGAACGUACCCAGAAGUGGGGGAUAACGUAGCGAAAGUUACGCUAAUACCGCAUACGAUCUACGGAUGAAAGUGGGGGACCUUCGGGCCUCAUGCUUGUGGAGCGGCCGAUAUCUGAUUAGCUAGUUGGUAGGGUAAAGGCCUACCAAGGCGACGAUCAGUAGCUGGUCUGAGAGGACGACCAGCCACACUGGGACUGAGACACGGCCCAGACUCCUACGGGAGGCAGCAGUGGGGAAUUUUGGACAAUGGGCGCAAGCCUGAUCCAACAAUGCCGCGUGAGUGAAGAAGGCCUUCGGGUUGUAAAGCUCUUUUGUCAGGGAAGAAACGGCCAGAGCUAAUAUCUUUGGCUAAUGACGGUACCUGAAGAAUAAGCACCGGCUAACUACGUGCCAGCAGCCGCGGUAAUACGUAGGGUGCAAGCGUUAAUCGGAAUUACUGGGCGUAAAGCGUGCGCAGGCGGUUUUGUAAGUCUGACGUGAAAUCCCCGGGCUCAACCUGGGAAUUGCGUUGGAGACUGCAAGGCUGGAGUCUGGCAGAGGGGGGGUAGAAUUCCACGUGUAGCAGUGAAAUGCGUAGAGAUGUGGAGGAACACCGAUGGGCGAAGGCAGCCCCCUGGGUUCAAGACUGACGCUCAUGCACGAAAGCGUGGGGGNGCCAAAACAGGAUUAGAUACCCUGGNAGUCCACCGCCCNUAAACGAUGUCUUACUAGUUUGUCGGGUCUUUAUNGGACUUGGNACCGCAGCUAACGCGNGAAGUAGACCGCCUUGGGGGAG
rnacentral:rRNA from 1 species